GCAACUUAUUUCUAAGCUGGGCUUAAACACAUGCUUAAGACGUCGGCUAGAUUCACAGUCGCCGAAUAAGCAACGUCAUAAGUCUGAGCUUAAACAUUUGCUUAGAAAAGUAAAUGCUUAUUGGUGUAGAUUCACAGUCGAUGCUUAAUAAAGUCUUAAGAUCUUAUGAAUUCAUAGUCGAAUAAGUCCGCCUUAUUUGUAGAAAACGAGUUCUUAUUUGGCUUUAUUGAGGUUAAAUUUUUAAGUCGACGAUAUUGAGGACUUAAGCACGCGUUUGAAGUUGUUAUUGUGCAGUGAUGGGACGAGAGAGAGUAGGUUAGGGUACACGAAUACGGUAAAAGAGAUUGUGUUUGCGGUAUUAUGCUACUGCAAGUUUUUAACUUAUUCUGGUGGACACAAUGAAUGUUUCUCAGCCCACAGUCUCCUGUAUAGUAUUUAGGGUGAGUUUACUAAUAGGCAGUCUGAUGACGGAGUAUAUCAAGUUUCCCAGGGAUCCGGACAAUUCCACUCAAAAUUGCAGAUUAUUCAAUAAUCUGGGACAGGGAAACGGAGCUAUUGGUUUACCAGGUGUGGAUGGCGCUAUUGAUUGCACCCACAUUAGAUUAACAGCAUUCAACAACAUGGAAGAAAUGUACAGAAAUAGAAAAGGAUAUUUUUCAUGACACCCCUGCGGAAUCCACAGACUGAAGAAGAAAUAAGGUACAAUGAAAUCCAGAUCAGGACCCGACAGAUAGUAGAAAGAACGUUCGGUGUUUGGCAUUCUUGUAGAAGAAGAUGAAAUUGAAAACCAGAAUGAAGA